UACGUAGGGUGCAAGCGUUGUCCGGAAUUAUUGGGGGUAAAGAGCUCGUAGGCGGUUUGUUGCGUCGGCUGUGAAAUCCCGAGGCUCAACCUCGGGUCUGCAGUCGAUACGAGCAAACUAGAGUGUUGCAGGGGAGACUGGAAUUCCUGGUGUAGCGGUGAAAUGCGCAGAUAUCAGGAGGAACACCGGUGGCGAAGGCGGGUCUCUGGGCAACAACUGACGCUGAGGAGCGAAAGCGUGGGGAGCGAACAGG
rnacentral:rRNA from 1 species